CAGAUCAACUACCUAACAAGGAAGAAAGGGUGGAACCAUGCCAUUUUAGUUCAUCUCUUUACUAUGGUGGCCGAGACUCAUAUUCCCAUUCCUCGAGUGGCCAAACUUCAACACCAUAUCCAAUUUUUAAGAAAGAUGGGGGAGAAGAUGACCCUAAUGGAAACAAUUCAAUGGAUGCUUCCAGAGGGAAUUGGUGGCAAGGUUCGCUUUAUUAUUAGAGCCCAACUUUCCUAUGCAUCUGAAUCCUCCAAGUAAUCAUAUGGAAGAACAUGAAGCAUGAAUAAGUUUCUGCCACUUGAGAUUUACAAAUCCUUUCAGUAAUAUCUUUUUUUUUUCUUCAUGAUUUUAAUCUGGGAAUGAAGCUUGAGAAGUUCUUCAUUACAUCGUACUUCUUCAUCACAAAAAAACAGGCCAAAAACACACGAAGUGUUUAACCCCCAUUCAACGCUACACUCCCUGCUUAAAUGCCUUCCCUUGCAAGCUGCCCAGCUUCCAACGAACAACAUCCUUCAGGCAGGCCACCAGAUCAACCUCAAGCCUUUGUACACCCCAAAAAAAUCGUCUGUUCCUUUCCUUACAAAUCAAGGCAAUACAAUCAUUUCAUGCCAAACGAAACACCGUCGAAAGCAAAGACUUGCCCUUAACAUUCAUGCAAGCCCGGCUAAGUUCUUGAUCUAAACGCAAAAUCGGUCUAGACAAACCACAAGCACAAUAAAAAGGUUCCGAUGGACGAAC